GAGCAAGAAGGCCUUGUGCGCUGGCUGGCCCAAGCGGGAUGGCUACAUUUCCACCCACCGAUUAGCUGAGAAAGGGUCAGUGACCCCCAAACAGCAGAGGAGGAAGAAACGUAAAGCCGUGCAGCUCCUCCUCUUUGGGAAACCCUGACCCUCGCAGCUAGAGACUGUAGAAGCCACCACGUCACCAAGGAUGGUCCAGCCUGAAAAUGAAUGCAGGGAGCCAGGUAUGAGCCUGGGCUUGGUGUAGGUGGGGAAUGUGAAGCAGAGAGAGAAGAGUCCUGUCCUCAGAGAACUGUCUACUGCAGCACGCAUGCUGCAGACCUGGGGGAAAGCUCUGACCAGACAAAACACGGAGGUGAUGGCCCAAGGUGCAGGAGCAGGUCCUCCCAGUGAGAAGGCUUCCAGGAGGAAGACCUUGGUAGCCGUGGUAGACCUUGCCCAGGUGAGGAGCAGAGGAGGAAACACUCCAGACUGGAGGGAAUGAAGUGAGGCCCUGUUGAAUGAGUCCUGUACUGAGUGGACUGAGGGGCCUGGGGAAUAGGGAGAUGGAUUGGAAGAGCAGCAGAAGAUACAGCUGGAAGGGAGGCUGAGUCUGCUGUAGUGUCCCCCCGCAUAUGAUCAAGUGGUGACUUUACCUCCUAGAUCUUCAACAUUUUUGAAAAGGUGAAUGACAUAAAGGCAGCUCUGUGGGCUAAAAAGCUAUUGCUACUGAAGUCUCCAUCGAAAUGUUGGAUGGCCCAAGGGUUCCCUAAGAAGGCAGGGAGGGACACCCCUUAACAUGAUCUGAUGUCUAAUGAACACACCAGCAAGGCGGAAUUCAGAACAGAGGCCACACCCCAGAGAGAUGGGAGCCAGAGGUCAGUGGAAGUUGGGUCUUAGAGGAGGCAGGGGUGAGAAAGACAGACUCGGAAGACCCAAAAUCUGUAGCUGGAAAGCAAGCAGAGGCCAGGGAGAAUGUUGGGGAAAUAUAAUUAAGAAAACAAAAUCUUCUCUCAGCCUAGAAAACUUCUCCUCAAAGGUAGUAGAGACAGAAAACAGUUUUAUUAUUGAGUAAGCAUUAAACCAGGAUGUGAUAUACAUCACAGGCAAUCCACUGAGAGAUUGCAGAGACAGAAUGCAAAAUGCAAUCUCAACUCCUAUAUAGCCAGGUAGAUACAAUCCACUGCAUACAUGUUUUCAAGAUAAACAGAAACUAGUCCUCAAGGAAGAGGGCCCGAAAACUUCAACCUAAAAAGAAAUGCAGAAAGACAGGCUCUCCAGAACAAAUGAGUUUAUUUGGGAAUAGCAGAAGAUUGCAAUCUGGGGUAUGUGUGUUAUAACAGACCACAGGCAUAUCCAGAGGGGUCAGGGCAAAGGGGAGUCUUAAAGACACAGAGAAGUCCACACAAGCCGCUUUGAAACAAAGAUCACAGGUCACAAGCUCGUCGUAGGAGCCGGCCUUUGUUCAUCAGCCAUUGCAAGCAUCUGCUGGGAAAUGGAAGGGAACCUGGGAAGAACUUGCAAUAACUGGGAAGAAGCAGACGAAGUGCCACUCCUGCCUGAUGAUGCCAGCAGCCCUGCAGGGUCCUCCUUUAUCCACUCAGCCCCACACCAAGAAGAAUUUCAGAAGGCCAGUGGUGGCUCCAGACACACAGCUCGAGCCUGGAUUUAAUUUGUUUUGGUGAAAGGACCCUGGACUAAGAACAAGGACACGAAGAGGAUGGGGCAGCCCUGAGACAGGUUUCUCAUCCUCUCUCUGCUGGGCAGGACCUUCCAGAGGCAUCCAGGGCAGCUCUCCACCCCCAAUGCCAGAUGCAGUAUCAGGUGCACAGAGCACCAGAAUAGGAGUCCAGAGACCUCAGCUGUGGGCCCAGCUCCUCAGUUGGUGCUAUGUGACCUUGGUCAAUUCACUGGAUGACUGAGCCUAUUUUCUUCCUCUGUGAAAAUGAGUGUAGUGAAACGUGACUGCCUGCCAGAAACAGAUGAGGAGGGGUGUGAAAAUGCCUUGCCAAGUCCUUUGGAAAGGUGAGCUAUUAGGGGUACUUAUCUUAGACGAUGUUUCUGGCAAUCUUAUUUAUAAAUCUUUUCAGGGCAAAGGAUCCUGUAGCUCCCCCAGUAACAGCUGCCCUUGUCUCAUAACUGUUUGGGAAGUCCUUCCCAGUAUCCAACCUGAAUUGUUUCUGAAACAACUUGUCCUGCCUGUCGGAAGUGAACCUGAGUGUGUGUGAGACAGUUGAAUUGUUCUUGGUGUGUUGUGUGUGUGCACACACACUCUGUGCACACCCCACUGUAGGAGAAUGUUCUUGGUGAGGAAGAGGAAGGUCAGUGUGGGAGAUUCUCACAUCUGAGGCCUGGACCUGCAGAACUUUGAGCAGUGCACCACUGCCACUGCCCAACAAGUCACAGUAAGGUGGGAGUGCUGGGAGGGUGUCCCCCUUACCUCAUAAGAAGAAAGCAAUCUGAGCAGCUUUGACUGUUUUUCAAAUCAAUGGGUAUGAAAAUCCACCCAGAACUCGGGUUAUGAAAUGUGUCAUUUUCAUGUGUGAAAUUUGCACCCGCUGACCUCAUAUCCUCCCUGAAAAUGGGGGACUUUCUCACCUCCUACCUCGAAUUUAAUCUGCGUCUGAUAUGCUGGCAGACCUCAGACCCAUCUGCAUCUCUUGGAGCUGUUUCUUUCCACUUCGGAGUAAAUGAUGGUUCCAAGGAGCUAGGCUGAUGGGAACAACGCCCACACCAUGUGGAUGCCUCUCUUCUCUCGCGCCCUUUUGGGGCCUCGUCUAGCAAACACGGAGGCUCCAGCGCCACAGAGAUUUGCAGUCUGUCUCUGUCUGCACCCACAAUUCAAUCACACAACCCUGAGUGGGCAUAAAAGCUGAUUUUCUGUCCUAAUGACUCCCUUAACCGAGCUGACAGCUGCCAUCCCUCAGGGACCUGUGGGUGAGAGUGCUGGAGACCAAUGACCCCCUUGCUUCUCUGCCCCUCUGCCCCCUGCCCCACCUCCUGUGUGUCUUUGAGGCUGAGGUGCCUAGAUGACCACUGUGUGAAUGUGCCCAGAGCUGGCAAGAGGAGAGAGUGGGCUAAGAGACAGAAGGUGGGCUGCGUGCUCCCAUAGGGCUCUCCCUCUCCUGCCAGCUCCAUCUCGAGUCCAUUAACCUCGCUCUGUGUGUGCUGUGUUAAUGGGCUGGGAAGGACAGAUCGCCCCUCUCGCCUGCUGACAGGAGGGGGCUGCCACUUGUUGCCAACCUCAGAGGAGGCACAAGGUGCUUGGAGGGCAGGACCAGAGCCCAGGCAGGCCCUGGCUUACGGCCUGGCUUCCACACUGCCUGUCAGAGGGAGGAAGCAGCUCCCCUGGGGUGACAAGAUGGGCAGCUGGCAAGAAAAUCCCUCAUGCUCACUUUCCUCUCCAUUGAUCCUCAGAUCUCCUCCUCAACAGCUAAGGAGACUCAAUAAUGCACACAUCCUAAGUGCAGUAGAAGGACCUGUGAAUAACAAUCUCUUCUAUUGGAUUAACUCUUCCGCAUCUGCUGUGUGGAUCCCCUACCUCGCUGAUGUGCUUGGAAGGCAGGGGAGGCUGCAUGGUGAGGCCCUGCUGGAGCACAGGGAGAGGCCACUUGGCAGAGUGCAGCAUCACAGCCGUGGGCGCCUGAGACCCAACCCCACCAGUGCCUCCGUGGCUGUACCAUGUUCCCAUGCUUCAUCACGCUGUCGCUCAGGGUGGGACCAGGCAUGGUCUUAUUCACCAAGGCAGGAUUCUAAACUCCUGUUUAGAACCCUAUGACUGGCUGGACAGGGGGUGGGCACCUGAGCCAUGGGCAGCCAACUCAUAGGCUGACCAGAGGCCUGAUAAAUGACUCAGUGCAGGAGGCAAUUCACUCAACUGCAGUUAUUUGAGCCAAUCAGGCUCUCUCUCAAUGGAAACAGGAAAUAAUAAAGCAGCUGGUGGGAGUGAGAGAAGUGAACGGAGACUCCCUGACAGCAGAUGAGUCCGGCUGGUAGCAGAGUCUGGAAGGAAGAGCCACAAACUCUGGCUGCUGUAAGACCUCAGAAAGCCAUGCCCUGAGAGCUCCACUGGAUCCUGACCUCCCCGCCUCACCCAGUCUCCCAGCCCGGGCCUCAUGAGGGCCUCCCCGUGCCGUAGCUCCUGAUCUAGAUGUUAUCGUGAAUAUCCUUGCAAUUAAUCUCCAUGUUCUGGCAGGCUCUGGAUACGCUGGGGAAACAGCACAGGGGUUCAUAAAUUUGCCUGAUUAAAAAUCACAUGGGCAAUUUGUUAAACCUGCAGACUCCAGGGUCCGUUUCAGACCAUUGAAUCAGAAUGCCCAGGAUGGACUCCAAGAUGUGCACUUAACAAACACCCAGGGUGAGUCUUAUGGCGAACUUGGGAGACACUGGUUUAUUCUCAUCCCCCUUAAUUCAUCCACAUGAGUGUGCUGAAUUGAAUGUACAAACACCAAGUUGCUUAAAAAGAGAAAAAAAAUACCAUUUUGGGGGCCAGCCAGGCAAAAAAAAAAAAAAAAGGAUGUUGCACAAAUUUCUCAUCUCCUUCAUCCUUUACCUGGCCCCCAGGCAGGCUUUUCUAACCGUUGGAGCAGUUUCCCUCUGGAUGGAUGUCACCAGGUGGAUAUGAUGUCAGUGCCUUCUGGGGCCACUGCUGGACCAACAAAUUUAGUUGCAGAAACGAGGGAAGUCACACUUCUGUGGAAGAAAUCUCUGGUUGUUCCCAAAUAUUCAUUUUUCUCUCCUCUGUGGCAAUAGAAUUUUUAGCUGGACACAUAGCAGCCCAAAAUAAAGAAAACACCUUCCUAGCCUCCCUUGCAGUUAGAUGGGGCCAUAUGACUAAGUUGUGCCAAAGGGAUGCCACAUGGGAUGUGAGCAAAAUGUAUACAAGUUACAAAUCAGGGCUAUGGAAAGGAGCAUGCCCUCCUCUUCCCCUUCACCCUUCCCACUGGCUGGAAUGCAGACCUGGUGGUAAGGCACCUUAAACCACUGAAUAAGGCCAAAUCCCAGGAUGCCAGAGCAAUAAGGUAGAAGGGACCUGGGUUCCUGUACCAGGGAGCAGCUGCACCAAUCCUGUUAUAGGAGAGAGACAUACAUUUCUAGUUUGUAAAAGCCACUGUUGUUUUGGAGUUUGUUAUAGCAUUACUGCAGUUGAAACUGUAUCUUAACUACAGAGUCUUAGUGCAGUUUCCACCCAGGGAAUGUGUUCACCACAGCCAUCCCACUUCACGGCAAGGCUCAACCCCCCAGAAAGCUUCCUCCAUGCCCUCCCACCCAUCAGAGCAGAGUCUGUGCUUACUGGGUCCUUGUACUUAGAGCCAGGACACCAGAAGCAGGAGUCACCUCCCACUGGCAUAGUCACUGGCAUUCUAGCACAUUCCACACUCAGAGUGGAUUUUUUAUAAAACCCUUUCCUCUAUUCAACAAAAUUAUUUUCAGUAAUAACCAUGGAAUGAAACAAAUAUUAAUAAUGGCCAGAAAUGAAACACAAACAGUGGAAGUGUUCUUUUAUUGAACCUCAUAUAUAUAAUCAUUCCAAUAAAAGAUUAAAAAAAUACUUUAGGUAAAUAAUUGUCUAGUAAUUAAUAAGUGAAUUUUAAUAAAACUCAAACAUUUGCAAAUGGCACAAUUUAGGCAAAUACUAAAUUGUGCCAAUGAUGUUA